CCUACCUUUUAAACAAGCCUCUAUUUUGCAGCAGUGUUUCUCAGACUCUGUUAGUUGUAUAUUUCAUAUGCUUUUCUUUCUUUUGAUGGUGCCUUAGAAAACACGGUCCCAGAAUUUGAGGUUCCUGACUUCAGUACACUAACUAGACUUGCCAGGGAUGUUUCUAAUGGGAAUUUGAGAUACAUGUGAGAUGGUGCUUUAGAGCUGAUUGAAGCCGAUAUUGUAAGGCCCUCAAAUAUCCAGCCUUACCACCUGCCAGGGUUCCCCAAAUUAUCACUGUUCUAGGUCCUUCGAGCCCCUAUUAAUAGCAGCACCUGAUACCCACGCGGGGCAAUAAUACAUGAAUAUGUGAUCAGCCAGCAACACAUUGCUGUCAUUUAAUCAGACUAACUGGCUAUUACUUUUGCAAGGAAUAGAGUUCCAGGGGAGGGAAAAGAACAGGAUGUCCGGCUUUGCCUACCUUGAAAUCUGUCUUGCGUGAGAUUUUGCCCAUUGUAUGUUCUUAAUAAAACUCUAUGGAAAGAAAUUUU
rnacentral:lncRNA from 1 species